CGUCUACUCCCUCCGUCCAACAAAAGAUGUCUCAAGUUUGUCAAAAUUUAGAUGUAUCUAGACAUGCAUUCAAAUUUGGUCAAAGUUGAGACAUCUUUUGUUGGACGGAGGGAAUAUUAU
rfam:Brachypodium distachyon strain Bd21 chromosome 1, whole genome shotgun sequence.